rnacentral:rRNA from 1 species
GAUGAACGCUGGCGGCGUGCCUAAUACAUGCAAGUCGAGCGAACAGACGAGGAGCUUGCUCCUCUGACGUUAGCGGCGGACGGGUGAGUAACACGUGGAUAACCUACCUAUAAGACUGGGAUAACUUCGGGAAACCGGAGCUAAUACCGGAUAAUAUAUUGAACCGCAUGGUUCAAUAGUGAAAGACGGUUUUGCUGUCACUUAUAGAUGGAUCCGCGCCGCAUUAGCUAGUUGGUAAGGUAACGGCUUACCAAGGCAACGAUGCGUAGCCGACCUGAGAGGGUGAUCGGCCCCACUGGAACUGAGACACGGUCCAGACUCCUACGGGAGGCAGCGGUAGGGAAUCUUCCGCAAUGGGCUGAAGCCUGACGGAGCAACGCCGCGUGAGUGAUAAAGGUCUUCGGAUCGUAAAACUCUGUUAUUAGGGAAGAACAAAUGUGUAAGUAACUAUGCACGUCUUGACGGUACCUAAUCAGAAAGCCACGGCUAACUCCGUG